GUCGGCGUCCAUGGGCUUCCUCCACAAUUACGACGUGUCUGCUACCACUUCAUCAACCACCUCCACACCACAAGAAGGCCAUGGUCAUGAGGAAUCUCCAAAAGUCUGAUUAGUGCCACCCCUUAUUUGCAUAUGAUCAGGUGUUCUAAUCACAAUACUAAAAUCUUUUUUCAGUUAAUCCUAAAGCAAUUAUUCUAAAUUUUGUUUGAGAAUCAAUUAUUCUUUUUUGAGUGCUGAGAAUCGAUUGUUCUAUUUUUUUAGACAAGAUUAUUCUAAAUUUAUGACCGGUAAUCAUGUAUCAGUGGGCUAGUCAAAUAAGCUAGACCGGCCCGGCCCGGCCAUCAGUCUAAUAGCUCUGGAAGAACGGGCGGCGGUAAGAGCGGCCACGAUGCGGUCGUCGUCGCCUUCCUCCUCGAUUCCUCGUCGUGCUUGCUCGCGAUCCAUUCUGCAGGGAGGCGAAACCCUCUGCGCGCCAUGGGCGACCACUACGGUACGCUUGGGGUGCGGCCCGACGCUACCAAGGCCGAGGUCAAGGCCGCCUUCCGCCGCCGCGCCCUGCGCGACCACCCCGACCGCCACGCUCAAUCCGGCGACGCCGGUGCCCGAGCCGAAGCCGCGGCGCGCUUCCGCCAGGCCUCCGACGCCUACCACGUCCUCUCCGACGACCAAAGGAGGGCCGAGUACGACCUCCGUCUCCGCUCUUCCUCCUAUGUCCGCACAUCCUCCUCCACCUGGGCCUCCUCCUCGGGUUCGCACGGCUACGGCUACGGGCACAGAGAAAGUUCUUGGCGGCGGCCGCCUCCGGGAGGCGGAGGCGCAUCGGUGGGAUACGAUUGGGGCUUGUUGCUGAAGGCGAUGACUCGGCGAAGGUUCCUUCUCAAUCUCGGCUUCUCCAGUGUAUUGCUUUCUGGUGCAGCUUUUCUUGAUGGAAGUAUUCUGGAACUCUGGAACAUGAAUAACUCUGGGAAAUCAUUUGAAGAAGCAAUGGAGUCGAUUGAGAAGGUAAAAGGGGGAAAGGGGAAUAGGUAGAGAAGUAGAUAGGUUCCAUCAAAUUGUGGUACACUGGUACAUAGACAAACGAGUGUGCAUAUUGUUGUUCAGAUCCUUCUGUACAGUCGGAAUAAUAUUUGUGACAAAGUGACGACUGAUUACCUGAUCAGCGUAGCUGUGGAUGAUUGUAAUGUGCAUCUAUGCCUAAGGUUCUUCCAGUGCAAAGAUUCAAACAAGUUGUCUUUUAACCUCCUCUAAUCAUGCUUUGUUUCCUCGGAAUCUGCAAGUAAUCGCAUUGUGUAUUGUAAUGGUACAGACAUUUUGGUGGGUACGAAGGCUGGCCUGUAUUAGAGAUAUAUUUGGGUUGCAUGUGUUUGGUAGUCUAGGAUUUGUAAUCCGUCUCCUACCUUAUUUUUAGGAGAGGUGUCUUGCCC
rnacentral:rRNA from 1 species